UACAGAGGGUGCAAGCGUUGUUCGGAAUUAUUGGGCGUAAAGCGCGUGUAGGCGGCUUUGCAAGUCGGGUGUGAAAGCCCUCAGCUUAACUGAGGAAGUGCGCCCGAAACUGCAGAGCUUGAGUACCGGAGAGGAUGGCGGAAUUCCCCAAGUAGAGGUGAAAUUCGUAGAUAUGGGGAGGAACACCGGUGGCGAAGGCGGCCAUCUGGACGGAUACUGACGCUGAGACGCGAAAGCGUGGGGAGCAAACAGGAUUAGAAACCCCCGUAGUCC
rnacentral:rRNA from 1 species